rnacentral:rRNA from 1 species
AUUGAACGCUGGCGGAAUGCUUUACACAUGCAAGUCGAGCGGCAGCGCGGGGCAACCUGGCGGCGAGCGGCGAACGGGUGAGUAAUGCAUCGGAACGUACCCAUUUGUGGGGGAUAACUAUCCGAAAGGAUAGCUAAUACCGCAUAAGUCCUGAGGGAGAAAGCAGGGGAUCGCAAGACCUUGCGCGAAUGGAGCGGCCGAUGCCGGAUUAGCUAGUUGGUAGGGUAAAGGCCUACCAAGGCGACGAUCCGUAGCUGGUCUGAGAGGAUGGUCAGCCACACUGGAACUGAGACACGGUCCAGACUCCUACGGGAGGCAGCAGUGGGGAAUUUUGGACAAUGGGCGAAAGCCUGAUCCAGCCAUUCCGCGUGAGUGAAGAAGGCCUUCGGGUUGUAAAGCUCUUUCGGCAGGAACGAAACGGUGGGGGCUAAUACCCCCUGCUAAUGACGGUACCUGAAGAAGAAGCACCGGCUAACUACGUGCCAGCCGCCGCAGUAAAAC